rnacentral:tRNA from 1 species
AGCGGGCUAGCUCAGCGGUAGAGCACCGGGCUCAUAACCCGGGGGUCGGCGGUUCGAGUCCGCCGCCCGCAACCA